UGGGGAAUAUUGCACAAUGGGCGCAAGCCUGAUGCAGCCAUGCCGCGUGUAUGAAGAAGGCCUUCGGGUUGUAAAGCACUUUCAGCGGGGAGGAAGGCGUUAAGGUUAAUAACCUUGGCGAUUGACGUUACCCGCAGAAGAAGCACCGGCUAACUCCGUGCCAGCAGCCGCGGUAAUACGGAGGGUGCAAGCGUUAAUCGGAAUUACUGGGCGUAAAGCGCACGCAGGCGGUCUGUCAAGUCGGAUGUGAAAUCCCCGGGCUCAACCUGGGAACUGCAUUCGAAACUGGCAGGCUAGAGUCUUGUAGAGGGGGGUAGAAUUCCAGGUGUAGCGGUGAAAUGCGUAGAGAUCUGGAGGAAUACCGGUGGCGAAGGCGGCUCUCUGGUCUGUAACUGACGCUGAGGCUCGAAAGCGUGGGGAGCAAACAGG
rnacentral:rRNA from 1 species